rnacentral:rRNA from 1 species
AGUGAACGCUGGCGGCGUGUUUAAGGCAUGCAAGUCGAACGGCAACAGGUUUGUAGCAAUACAAAUGCUGGCGAGUGGCGGACGGGUGAGUAACGCGUAGGAAUCUACCUGGAGGUUGGGGAUAGCUCAGGGAAACCUGGGGUAAUACCCGAUGAUAACGAAAGUUCAAAGUGGCCUCAAAGCCACACCUUCGGAUGAGCCUGCGACCCAUCAGGUAGUUGGCGGGGUAAAGGCCCACCAAGCCUAAGACGGGUAGCUGGUCUGAGAGGAUGAUCAGCCACAAGGGGACUGAGACACGGCCCCUACUCCUACGGGAGGCUG